GGAUAGGUGGUAGAGCUUGGUUUAAUACACCGGUCUUGAAAACCGGCGAGGGUAACACCUCCGUGGGUUCGAAUCCCACCCUGUCCA
rnacentral:tRNA from 1 species